UACGGAGGGUGCAAGCGUUAAUCGGAAUUACUGGGCGUAAAGCGCACGCAGGUGGCUGAGUCAGUCGAUUGUGAAAGCCCUGGGCUUAACCUGGGAAUUGCAGUCGAUACUACUCAGCUAGAGUAUGGGAGAGGGCAGUGGAAUUCCCGGUGUAGCGGUGAAAUGCGUAGAUAUCAGGAAGAACACCCGUGGCUAAGGCGGCUCUCUAGUACGGUACUGACGCUGAGACGCGAAAGCGUGGGGAGCGAACAGG
rnacentral:rRNA from 1 species